rnacentral:rRNA from 1 species
UGGCGGCAGGCCUAACACAUGCAAGUCGAGCGGUAACAGAAAGUAGCUUGCUACUUUGCUGACGAGCGGCGGACGGGUGAGUAAUGCUUGGGAACAUGCCUUGAGGUGGGGGACAACAGUUGGAAACGACUGCUAAUACCGCAUAAUGUCUACGGACCAAAGGGGGCUUCGGCUCUCGCCUUUAGAUUGGCCCAAGUGGGAUUAGCUAGUUGGUGAGGUAAUGGCUCACCAAGGCGACGAUCCCUAGCUGGUUUGAGAGGAUGAUCAGCCACACUGGGACUGAGACACGGCCCAGACUCCUACGGGAGGCAGCAGUGGGGAAUAUUGCACAAUGGGCGCAAGCCUGAUGCAGCCAUGCCGCGUGUGUGAAGAAGGCCUUCGGGUUGUAAAGCACUUUCCAGUCAGGAGGAAAGGUUAGUAGUUAAUACCUGCUAGCCUGUGACGUUACUGACAGAAGAAGC